UUGUCCUUAGAGUCAUCAUCUUAUACCCUACAUUCACUCAUUAAUUUUGUUUGCUACUUUCCUCCAUUAGAAUAUAAGGGGAGGGAUUUUGCCUGUUUGGUUCCCUCUUCCAUCCCCGCUCCCUACCCCCAAGACUGAAACAAUGUUUGGCCCAUGGGAGGAGCUCUGUAAAUACGGGCAGAAUGAAUGAAGACACACGAUAAUGACAGCCAUCUACUACAAACACAAGAUUGCUCUAUACUCCCAUACCAACCCAAAUAGAUAACCCAAAAGAGGAAAUGGAAGUUACAAAGAUGAGGAUCUGAACUGUUACUCUCGGAGGUCCCUUCAAGUUCUGACAUUCUGCCCUGCCCCAGGCCUGAUGUCUGCCAGGGGCAGAAAAGAAAACAGCAAAUUACAAAAACAUCCCUGGUUUCAAGCAAGAGCAUGUGCUUCAGAUACCCUUGAUUUUGACAUCAAUGAAGUAUAUAACCAGACAAGUGCACGUGGCUUUGGAGGGUCUCUCGUCGCCCAGGAUGCAUCUUCAGAAACGCUGUCUCCUCUUCCCUCUCUUUAGUUCAGAGCAGCUGAUUGUGAAGACAGACUCUUCCCUGGGUCUAUUUUCCCCUCUGCAAUUAUACUCCACUGAAAUAUAAAUUUUCCAUACUGCUAUCUGCUACUAAUAAAAACUGUCUACCCUGCACAAUAAAAAAAAAGCCUUUGCUAUAAGCAUAUCUGACAUUAUAGAAAUAUUUCACAUUAAAUAAACCCCAAUGAAAAAGAACUACUUGAGGAGAUACUUAGUUCAACUUUUUCAGUCAAGAACCCACUAACAGCUCCAUCCUUUUUCCUCACUACAUAAUAACAUUAUCUCCUCUAAGACAGACACAUCGGUCAAACUGAGCUACCCUUCUCUUUUGAAAAAGAUAAUUUAUGUUGAAUACACCUGCCUUGACUUGGAAACUGUAGUUACAUUGAUUUAAAAGGCUAACUGGGGAGUAAUUAUUAAAUUAAUGGUCUUAAUUUCUAAACACCAUUCUCCA